rnacentral:rRNA from 1 species
GGGGAGCUUCGGCUCCCCGGAGAGUGGCGCACGGGUGAGUAACACGUGGGUAAUCUGCCUUUGGGUGGGGAAUAACGACCCGAAAGGGUCGCUAAUACCGCAUAACGCAGCGGCACCGCAUGGUGACAGUUGUUAAAGGGGGGGAUCUUCGGACCUCUCGCCUGAAGAGGAGCCCGCGCCCGAUUAGCUCGUUGGUGGGGUAACGGCCUACCAAGGCAACGAUCGGUAGCCGGCCUGAGAGGGCGGUCGGCCACACUGGCACUGAGACACGGGCCAGACUCCUACGGGAGGCAGCAGUGGGGAAUUUUGGGCAAUGGGCGAAAGCCUGACCCAGCAACGCCGCGUGAAGGACGAAAUCCCUCCGGGAUGUAAACUUCGAAAGUCAGGAAAGAAAUCGGUCAGGAUAAUACCCUGACCGGAUGACGGUACCUGACGUAAGCCCCGGCUAACUACGUGCCAGCAGCCGCGGUAAUACGUAGGGGGCAAGCGUUGUUCGGAAUUACUGGGCGUAAAGGGCGCGUAGGCGGCACGGCAAGUCGGGAGUGAAAGGCCUGGGCUCAACCGAGGAACUGCUUUCGAGACUGCCGAGCUAGAGUGCGGAAGGGGCAUCUGGAAUUCCCAGUGUAGCGGUGAAAUGCGUAGAUAUUGGGAAGAACACCUGAGGCGAAGGCGGGAUGCUGGGCCGACACUGACGCUGAGGCGCGAAAGCCAGGGGAGCAAACGGGAUUAGAUACCCCGGUAGUCCUGGCCCUAAACGAUGGAUACUUGGUGUGUGGGGUUCUUCGAGUCCCCGCGUGCCGGAGCUAACGCGGUAAGUAUCCCGCCUGGGGAGUACGGUCGCAAGGCUG